CCUGCCCUUAGUGGCAUUGCAGGUUUGGCUUCUGUGUUACAGGUGCAUCAGUAGGUGACAGAGAGGAGAAAGACAUAUAUUUAAGCUAGCUGUUCUGAUCUAUGAACAUCUGAGUGAUUAGCAGUAGCCUAACAUU
ensembl:snoRNA